UACGAAGGGGGCUAGCGUUGCUCGGAAUCACUGGGCGUAAAGCGCACGUAGGCGGAUUGCUAAGUCGGGGGUGAAAUCCUGGAGCUCAACUCCAGAACUGCCUUUGAUACUGGCGAUCUUGAGUAUGGAAGAGGUGAGUGGAAUUCCGAGUGUAGAGGUGAAAUUCGUAGAUAUUCGGAGGAACACCAGUGGCGAAGGCGGCUCACUGGUCCAUUACUGACGCUGAGGUGCGAAAGCGUGGGGAGCAAACAGG
rnacentral:rRNA from 1 species